UACGGCCAGAUUAAGUUGAAAAACCGGUUCUCCUACGAUCAUCUAAGUUAAGCAAUGUCGAGCCUGGCCAGUACCAAGAUGGGUGACAGUUUGGGAAUACCAAGUGCUAU